rnacentral:rRNA from 1 species
UACGUAGGGAGCAAGCGUUGUCCGGAAUCAUUGGGCGUAAAGCGCGCGUAGGUGGCUUCGUAAGUCCGUUGUGAAAGUCAAAGGCUCAACCUUUGAAAGCCGAUGGAUACUGUGAAGCUAGAGUACGGAAGAGGCGAGUGGAAUUCCUGGUGUAGCGGUGGAAUGCGCAGAUAUCAGGAGGAACACCGGUGGCGAAGGCGGCUCUCUGGACGGUGACUGACGCUGAGACGCGAGAGCGUGGGGAGCAAACAGG